GUUAUAUGGUCAAGUGAAGAAGCGCAUACGGUGGAUGCCUUGGCAGUCAGAGGCGAUGAAAGACGUGGUAGCCUGCGAAAAGCUUCGGGGAGUCGGCAAACAGACUGUGAUCCGGAGAUGUCUGAAUGGGGGAACCCAGCCAUCAUAAGAUGGUUAUCUUGUACUGAAUACAUAGGUGCAAGAGGCGAACCAGGGGAACUGAAACAUCUAAGUACCCUGAGGAAAAGAAAUCAACCGAGAUUCCCUUAGUAGUGGCGAGCGAACGGGGACCAGCCCUUAAGUUGUAUUGAGAUUAGCGGAACGUUCUGGAAAGGACGGCCAUAGUGGGUGAUAGCCCUGUACGCGAAAAUCCCUUUGCAAUGAAAUCGAGUAGGACGGGGCACGAGAAACCUUGUCUGAAUAUGGGGGGACCAUCCUCCAAGGCUAAAUACUACUGACUGACCGAUAGUGAACCAGUACCGUGAGGGAAAGGCGAAAAGAACCGCGGAGAGCGGAGUGAAAUAGAUCCUGAAACCGUAUGCGUACAAGCAGUGGGAGCCCACUUUGUUGGGUGACUGCGUACCUUUUGUAUAAUGGGUCAGCGACUUAUUUUCAGUGGCGAGCUUAACCGAAUAGGGGAGGCGUAGCGAAAGCGAGUCUUAAUAGGGCGUCUAGUCGCUGGGAAUAGACCCGAAACCGGGCGAUCUAUCCAUGGGCAGGUUGAAGGUUGGGUAACACUAACUGGAGGACCGAACCGACUACCGUUGAAAAGUUAGCGGAUGACCUGUGGAUCGGAGUGAAAGGCUAAUCAAGCUCGGAGAUAGCUGGUUCUCCUCGAAAGCUAUUUAGGUAGCGCCUCAUGUAUCACUGUAGGGGGUAGAGCACUGUUUCGGCUAGGGGGUCAUCCCGACUUACCAAACCGAUGCAAACUCCGAAUACCUACAAGUGCCGAGCAUGGGAGACACACGGCGGGUGCUAACGUCCGUCGUGAAAAGGGAAACAACCCAGACCGUCAGCUAAGGUCCCAAAGUCAUGGUUAAGUGGGAAACGAUGUGGGAAGGCUUAGACAGCUAGGAGGUUGGCUUAGAAGCAGCCACCCUUUAAAGAAAGCGUAAUAGCUCACUAGUCGAGUCGGCCUGCGCGGAAGAUGUAACGGGGCUCAAACCAUGCACCGAAGCUACGGGUAUCAUCUUAGGAUGAUGCGGUAGAGGAGCGUUCUGUAAGCCUGUGAAGGUGAGUUGAGAAGCUUGCUGGAGGUAUCAGAAGUGCGAAUGCUGACAUGAGUAACGACAAUGGGUGUGAAAAACACCCACGCCGAAAGACCAAGGUUUCCUGCGCAACGUUAAUCGACGCAGGGUUAGUCGGUCCCUAAGGCGAGGCUGAAAAGCGUAGUCGAUGGAAAACAGGUUAAUAUUCCUGUACUUCUGGUUAUUGCGAUGGAGGGACGGAGAAGGCUAGGCCAGCCUGGCGUUGGUUGUCCAGGUUUAAGGUGGUAGGCUGAGAUCUUAGGUAAAUCCGGGAUCUCAAGGCCGAGAGCUGAUGACGAGUGUUCUUUAGAACACGAAGUGGUUGAUGCCAUGCUUCCAAGAAAAGCUUCUAAGCUUCAGGUAACCAGGAACCGUACCCCAAACCGACACAGGUGGUUGGGUAGAGAAUACCAAGGCGCUUGAGAGAACUCGGGUGAAGGAACUAGGCAAAAUGGCACCGUAACUUCGGGAGAAGGUGCGCCGGUGAGGGUGAAGCAUUUACUGCGUAAGCCCACGCCGGUCGAAGAUACCAGGCCGCUGCGACUGUUUAUUAAAAACACAGCACUCUGCAAACACGAAAGUGGACGUAUAGGGUGUGACGCCUGCCCGGUGCCGGAAGGUUAAUUGAUGGGGUUAGCGCAAGCGAAGCUCUUGAUCGAAGCCCCGGUAAACGGCGGCCGUAACUAUAACGGUCCUAAGGUAGCGAAAUUCCUUGUCGGGUAAGUUCCGACCUGCACGAAUGGCGUAACGAUGGCGGCGCUGUCUCCACCCGAGACUCAGUGAAAUUGAAAUCGCUGUGAAGAUGCAGUGUAUCCGCGGCUAGACGGAAAGACCCCGUGAACCUUUACUAUAGCUUUGCACUGGACUUUGAAUUUGCUUGUGUAGGAUAGGUGGGAGGCUUUGAAGCGUGGACGCCAGUCUGCGUGGAGCCAACCUUGAAAUACCACCCUGGCAACUUUGAGGUUCUAACUCAGGUCCGUUAUCCGGAUCGAGGACAGUGUAUGGUGGGUAGUUUGACUGGGGCGGUCUCCUCCUAAAGAGUAACGGAGGAGUACGAAGGUGCGCUCAGACCGGUCGGAAAUCGGUCGUAGAGUAUAAAGGCAAAAGCGCGCUUGACUGCGAGACAGACACGUCGAGCAGGUACGAAAGUAGGUCUUAGUGAUCCGGUGGUUCUGUAUGGAAGGGCCAUCGCUCAACGGAUAAAAGGUACUCCGGGGAUAACAGGCUGAUACCGCCCAAGAGUUCAUAUCGACGGCGGUGUUUGGCACCUCGAUGUCGGCUCAUCACAUCCUGGGGCUGAAGCCGGUCCCAAGGGUAUGGCUGUUCGCCAUUUAAAGUGGUACGCGAGCUGGGUUUAGAACGUCGUGAGACAGUUCGGUCCCUAUCUGCCGUGGACGUUUGAGAUUUGAGAGGGGCUGCUCCUAGUACGAGAGGACCGGAGUGGACGAACCUCUGGUGUUCCGGUUGUCACGCCAGUGGCAUUGCCGGGUAGCUAUGUUCGGAAAAGAUAACCGCUGAAAGCAUCUAAGCGGGAAACUUGCCUCAAGAUGAGAUCUCACUGGAACCUUGAGUUCCCUAGAGGGCCGUCGAAGACUACGACGUUGAUAGGUUGGGUGUGUAAGCGCUGUGAGGCGUUGAGCUAACCAAUACUAAUUGCCCGUGAGGCUUGACCAUAUAACACCCAAGCAAUU
rnacentral:rRNA from 1 species